AGUUUAAGGUAAACUGAAGACUAUUCCCUGUUACAGAGUAGGAAAAAAAAAAUAUCUCUGUAAUGUCUUAAAGCUGUUGCACUGUACCUAAUCCCUUAAGGUAAGAGAAAGCCUAGCUCCCUCCUUAAUGGAAAAAAGCAGAUCUCACUGUCCAUAUCUUUCAGGGACUGCCUUGAAGUCUCCUAGAACAAACUUAUUUAAACUUGCUAACAUUGGGAGGCAGUAUCCUUGGUUCACUCCAAUGGAAUAUGAAGGAGGUGGUUUGGGCUCGUAGACUGUCCUUGCUGAAACAAGCUCCUGAGUAACCCCAGACAAGGGUCAAUGGACCAGCCCCAAGGCAUCCUGCACUCUGACCAGGGAUUAGCCACCACAACCUGAUAUGGGAUGGAAACAUCCACGUUCCUAACAGUUGCCUCUAAUCCCUAAACCUCUCCUCCUGGUUAUUUCAGUGCUCCUGAAAAAGACACUAAGAUGUUACAGUCUAAUUCUGAAUCUGAUUCGGGCCUUGAAAAUAUUCAUGAACAUAUCAUUUGGCCACCUCAGCCAUAAAAAUUUCUGGAAGAAAUCUAACUUGGAAUUGUACUGCCUUCCAAUGAAAACUCAAGAUGAUCGGUGAUACCCAAGGUCCUAAUAACUCCUGCAUUCUCAGAUUACAGUGCUGUGAGCUUUGGGCAGUGAAAUCAGAUAUAUGGAACCUGACGAUCAUGCAUCUCCAGCACUAUCAUGAAAGGAGGACACAUACUUGCUAAUCGAAAUCAAGUCUGAGACCAAAGUAGAGAAAUGGCACUUGAUGUUCUUUUCAACCAAAGUCUCUGCUUAAUUCCAAACAUAUUCUGCAGGCUGGAUGUCGGGCAGCUGAAGGGUGAUCAGUAUUAUGCUGGAAUUAAAGCCUGCUGGGAGGUUAAUGAAGAAGCACCAGUGGGUUUGCUGGAAGUCUGUAGGUCACAGGAAAGCAGAUUGGAUGCUGGGUGUGACAUGAUCGGAGCCUCUACAGGACAAUGAACUUGGCCACACAUCCUUAGGGAAAUGAGAGGCAAGCAGCACCUAGGUAAGAAGCCACAAGGAUAAUCUGAAAAUAGAAGCAAAGAAGGACUGAAAGAAGCAAAUGGCAGCAGAACAGAGAAUAGGGGAUGAAGACAAAGGGUAACAAGUCUUUGUUGACCUGGUAAAUGUUCAUGAGUGGAGAGGAAGAGAAAGGGAGGAAUUGACAGCAUUUUGAGCCUGGUGACUGGGAGGAC
rnacentral:lncRNA from 1 species